rnacentral:rRNA from 1 species
ACGGAAGGCAGCAGUGGGGAAUUUUGCGCAAUGGGGGGAACCCUGACGCAGCAACGCCGCGUGCGGGAUGAAGGCCUUCGGGUUGUAAACCGCUUUCAGCAGGGACGAUCGUGACGGUACCUGCAGAAGAAGCUCCGGCUAACUACGUGCCAGCAGCCGCGGUAAUACGUAGGGAGCGAGCGUUAUCCGGAUUCAUUGGGCGUAAAGCGCGCGUAGGCGGCGCCGCAAGCGGAAUCUCUAAUCCGAGGGCUCAACCCCCGGCCGGAUUCCGAACUGCGGUGCUCGAGUGCGGUAGGGGCAGGCGGAAUUCCCGGUGUAGCGGUGAAAUGCGCAGAUAUCGGGAAGAACACCGAUGGCGAAGGCAGCCUGCUGGGCCGACACUGACGCUGAGGCGCGAAAGCUAGGGGAGCGAACAGGAUUAGAUACCCUGGUA